rnacentral:rRNA from 1 species
GACGAACGCUGGCGGCGUGCCUAAUACAUGCAAGUAGAACGCUGAAGAGAGGAGCUUGCUCUUCUUGGAUGAGUUGCGAACGGGUGAGUAACGCGUAGGUAACCUGCCUUGUAGCGGGGGAUAACUAUUGGAAACGAUAGCUAAUACCGCAUAACAAUGGAUGACACAUGUCACUUAUUUGAAAGGGGCAAUUGCUCCACUACAAGAUGGACCUGCGUUGUAUUAGCUAGUAGGUGAGGUAAUGGCUCACCUAGGCGACGAUACAUAGCCGACCUGAGAGGGUGAUCGGCCACACUGGGACUGAGACACGGCCCAGACUCCUACGGGAGGCAGCAGUAGGGAAUCUUCGGCAAUGGGGGCAACCCUGACCGAGCAACGCCGCGUGAGUGAAGAAGGUUUUCGGAUCGUAAAGCUCUGUUGUAAGUCAAGAACGGGUGUGAGAGUGGAAAGUUCACACUGUGACGGUAGCUGACCAGAAAGGGACGGCUAACUACGUG